rnacentral:rRNA from 1 species
UACGUAGGGUGCGAGCGUUGUCCGGAAUUAUUGGGCGUAAAGAGCUCGUAGGCGGCCUGUUGCGUCCGCUGUGAAAGCCCGGGGCUUAACCCCGGGUCGGCAGUGGAUACGGGCAGGCUAGAGGUAGGUAGGGGAGAAUGGAAUUCCCGGUGUAGCGGUGAAAUGCGCAGAUAUCGGGAGGAACACCGGUGGCGAAGGCGGUUCUCUGGGCCUUGCCUGACGCUGAGGAGCGAAAGCGUGGGGAGCGAACAGG